rnacentral:rRNA from 1 species
UACGAAGGGGGCUAGCGUUGUUCGGAAUCACUGGGCGUAAAGGGCGCGUAGGCGGCUUUAUAAGUCGGGGGUGAAAUCCCGGGGCUCAACCCCGGAACUGCCUUCGAUACUGGGUAUCUUGAGUUCGGAAGAGGUGAGUGGAAUUGCGAGUGUAGAGGUGAAAUUCGUAGAUAUUCGCAGGAACACCAAUGGCGAAGGCAGAUCUCUGGGCCGUAACUGACGCUGAGGAGCGAAAGCAUGGGGAGCAAACAGG